rnacentral:rRNA from 1 species
UACGGGGGGGGCAAGCGUUGUUCGGAAUUACUGGGCGUAAAGGGCUCGUAGGCGGCCAACUAAGUCAGACGUGAAAUCCCUCGGCUUAACCGGGGAACUGCGUCUGAUACUGGAUGGCUUGAGAUUGGGAGAGGGAUGCGGAAUUCCAGGUGUAGCGGUGAAAUGCGUAGAUAUCAAGAGGAACACCUGAGGUGAAGACGGGUUGCUGGGCCGACACUGACGCUGAGUGCGCGAAAGCCAGGGGAGCAAACGGG